rnacentral:rRNA from 1 species
GCAAGUGAAAUUGAUUAUUAUAUUGUAUGAAAAAAUCUGAGCUGAAGCUGAGAAGAUUUAAUAAAAGACUAGGAUUAGAUACCCUAUUAUUAAAAAAUAAAGUUAUAAAAACUUAAUUAGUAAGAGAUAAGUACUUAAAAUUUAAAAAAUUUGGCGGUAAUUUAAUCUUUUCAGAGGAACCUGUUUUUGAAUCGAUAAUCCACGAAGAAUCUUACUUGAGUUUGUAUACCAUCAUUACAAAUAAUUUUUAGAGAAAUAAAUUAUUAAGUGUAAAUAUAUUAUAAAAAUUAGAUCAUGGUGCAGUCUAUAGAUAAGGUAAAAUGGGUUACAAUAAAUUAUUUUAUACGGAUUAGUAACUAUGAAGGAGGAUUUGAUUGUAUUGGGGUUUAAUAAGCUUUAAAGAUAUAAGCUCUAAAUUAUGUACAUAUCGCCCGUCGCUUUC